CCUACGGGGGGCUGCAGUGGGGAAUCUUGGACAAUGGGGGAAACCCUGAUCCAGCCAUGCCGCGUGAGUGAUGAAGGCCCUAGGGUUGUAAAGCUCUUUCGCCAGGGAAGAUAAUGACGGUACCUGGAUAAGAAGCCCCGGCUAACUCCGUGCCAGCAGCCGCGGUAAUACGGAGGGGGCUAGCGUUGUUCGGAAUUACUGGGCGUAAAGCGCACGUAGGCGGCUAUCCAAGUUGGGGGUGAAAUCCCUGGGCUUAACCCAGGAACUGCCUUCAAAACUGGAUGGCUAGAGUCCGAGAGAGGUGAGUGGAAUUUCCAGUGUAGAGGUGAAAUUCGUAGAUAUUGGAAAGAACACCAGUGGCGAAGGCGGCUCACUGGCUCGGUACUGACGCUGAGGUGCGACAGCGUGGGGAGCAAACAGGAUUAGAUACCCCAGUAGUC
rnacentral:rRNA from 2 species